rnacentral:rRNA from 1 species
GACGGAGGAUGCAAGCGUUAUCCGGAAUGAUUGGGCGUAAAGCGUCCGCAGGUGGCAGUUCAAGUCUGCUGUCAAAGACCGGGGCUUAACUUCGGAAAGGCAGUGGAAACUGAACAGCUAGAGUAUGGUAGGGGCAGAGGGAAUUCCUGGUGUAGCGGUGAAAUGCGUAGAGAUCAGGAAGAACAUCGGUGGCGAAGGCGCUCUGCUGGACCAUAACUGACACUCAGGGACGAAAGCUAGG